ACUGCCCAAUGAGAAACCGGGUCCAAAUUUUAGGCCGCGAUCUCUGCAAUUUGAUUGGAUCAGAAUGCUGUGGAAUGUGCAGAAGUCUUUGGUCGCAUCCAAUAAGGGCUGGAUGAAAAGUCGCGCGUUAUAAUAUAUAUAUGCCGAAGGCGGGGCUUCUUCGUUCUUUUUACCUUUCGCGUUGUGGUGAGAUGUAGUUAGGCUGCCGCUGAUGACGGUGGCCGUUGUUCAUGGCGCUUCCAGACUUAUCAGCGUGUUCAGAAAGACUAUGAUUACAGAAGCGAAGGUUCCGUGUCGGCUCUUGUGCUCUAUUAGUCUAAGAUCUGCGCGUAUGUUAUGAUGAUCUAGACUCUAGUAUCCCUCCAUUUUAAGCCGACCGAUGUUGAACAUGUGAUAAUAAUAAUUGUAACGAACGCGGUUUCGUAGCUUUUUGGCCCAGGAGACUAAUAUAUGGGUCUCAAACUGGACUGAACCGGUUGCUUCACGACGAUGGACAUGAUGAUGAUGAUGAUGAUGAUGAUGAUGGACUGGUGUGUCUGGGAUGUGAACAUGAUGUAGCCUCCAGAGAGCGUGCGAUGUGAACGUGGCUGGUACCCUCUGGGUGGAGAAGCAGCAGCAGCAGCAGGGUUUAUCUGCUUAAGACACAUUCCAUUUGUUCCUGAACAGUGUGAGGCUGUUGACCCCAAUUUUUAACCACCCAGGAGCGUGCAGUGUGAACGUGGCAGGUACCCUCUGGGUGGAGAAGCAGCAGCAGCAGGAGGAGGUGAGGUGACCAGCAGGGCUUGUCUGCUUAAGACACACAUUCCAUUAGGUAAAAUGGUGAUGAGCCAUGCUGGAGUCUACUGGUGCGUUUAAUCGGCCGAAAGUGCAGGUUUCCAUUGAAACAGAAGAUGGUGCCAUUUGCUUUAUGCUCAAGGGAAGUGGGGAGCUGCAGCAGUGUGAUUCGCUUAACUGGCUCAUCCAGUGCAUCACUGUUACAUCACACUAUUGGGGAAGACAGGUCUGAUGUCAGAUUGUCAGUUACUAUACUGUAUAAUGUGGCUUUGAAUCUUAAAUACUCAAAUGUCUAGGCUCUGCUGAAAAUUCACAUACUGUAUACAGUAAAGAACUACAUAGAUUCACCCAUAUGAGCAGGAUAUGGGUUCAAAGCAGAUAAUGUGAAAAAUGGAUGGCAAUUGAAUGAUGCCUUGCUAAAUGAAUCUUUGUAGAGGCAAUUUGAUUUUAUUUAAAUUUUUCUUUUUCUAAAGGAAAUUGAUAGAUAAACUUUUGUAGAAUAAAAAUGUUCGAAGGGCAAGUCACUGCUCUAGAGGUUUGAAAUUGAGGGUGGACUAUUCAAAAUCCACACUUGUCACAGUGGUGGGGAAAAUUAUACAGCCAAAAUCAUCUAUAUAUGUUUAUUUUUUUUGAAACAAUAAGCAAUCUCAUUACAUGUCUCCUUGUCCUACUGGCUUGAAUGUAUAUAACUACAUCCAAAUGAGCACUAAUAUAACACCUGUCAUUUUACAUUAAUCUGUCAUAUGGAAUGCCAAUAUGCAACAGGGUUAUGGACUUUGGAUGAUUAUUGCAGAGUUCCCAGUUUAAAUUGUGGUGUAUGAAGGUACACUACUUGUUUUACCUUUUUACAUCUUUAAUACCCUGUUUGAUUUGUUGUGUAUGCUUUUUUUUUUUUAAUAUGAAAGCUCCUUUGGAUAAACAGGAGGAAUAAAUUUAUUUUCUAGUAUAUGAUUUCAUGGUUUC